GGCACAUUAUAUGCUCUGACAACGACAUUAAAUAGUCGAAUGACUGGGCGCAACUUAAAUACUGAAAAAAUGUGGGUAGGACUCCCUGUCCAAUCUACAUAAAGGAGGCCUAACUACAAAAAUGAUCAUCAUGAUCUCAGCCGCCGGGAAAAAGCAGGUAAAGUACGCCGGAGGACAGCCAAAGGGACUUCCCGACCGAGAUUUGCGGACUCCUGGGAAAGCGAGUUGGAGAAUACUAUAAAAGGACGCACACACUUGCCAAAAAGGGAGAGAGAUAUGCAUACAUACUUAUUCUUUACACGAUCAUGACGAGCACUUCGUGCCUGUUAUAAUUAUUUCGUGCAAGUUAAUUAUAUAUUUGUGUCGGAUUAUCCCAGAUUCAGUUUACGAUACGGUUUUACGGAGAGUUGCAACAGUUAAUGAAACAGUAAUAAAAAGACACAAAUUUUCAAGUGGUUCGG
rnacentral:lncRNA from 1 species